rnacentral:tRNA from 1 species
GCGGGUGUAAUUUAGUGGUAAAAUAGCAGCUUCCCAAGCUGCAGUCGCGGGUUCGAUCCCCGUCACCCGCU